CAGAGGGGGCAAGCGUUGUUCGGAAUUACUGGGCGUAAAGGGCGCGUAGGCGGCCUGCUAAGUCGAACGUGAAAUCCCUGGGCUCAACCCAGGAACUGCGUCCGAUACUGGUUGGCUUGAAUCCGGGAGAGGGAUGCGGUAUUCCAGGUGUAGCGGUGAAAUGCGUAGAUAUCUGGAGGAACACCGGUGGCGAAGGCGGCAUCCCGGACCGGCAUUGACGCUGAGGCGCGAAAGCCAGGGGAGCAAACGGGAUUAGAUACCCCGGUAGUCCUGGCCCUAAACGAUGAAUGCUUGGUGUGGCGGGUAUCGAUCCCUGCCGUGCCGAAGCUAACGCAUUAAGCAUUCCGCCUGGGGAGUACGGUCGCAAGGCUG
rnacentral:rRNA from 1 species